CUUGGUCAUUUAGAGGAAGUAAAAGUCGUAACAAGGUUUCCGUAGGUGAACCUGCGGAAGGAUCAUUAAAGAGUAAGGGUGCUCAGCGCCCGACCCCCAACCCUUUGUUGUUAAAACUACCUUGUUGCUUUGGCGGGACCGCUCGGUCUCGAGCCGCUGGGGAUUCGUCCCAGGCGAGCGCCCGCCAGAGUUAAACCAAACUCUUGUUAUUUAACCGGUCGUCUGAGUUAAAAUUUUGAAUAAAUCAAAACUUUCAACAACGGAUCUCUUGGUUCUCGCAUCGAUGAAGAACGCAGC
rnacentral:rRNA from 1 species